rnacentral:rRNA from 1 species
GACGAACGCUGGCGGCGUGCUUAACACAUGCAAGUCGAACGGUGAAGGGGCCUGUUUUUGUGGGCCCUGGAUGAGUGGCGAACGGGUGAGUAACACGUGAGUAACCUGUCCCCUUCUUCUGGAUUACCGCAUGAAAGUGUGGCUAAGACGGGGUAUUCUGGGUCUGUCGUAUGAUGGGGCUGGGAAAGAUUGCGGCUUUGGGAGUUGUUGGUGGGGGAUGCGCUCGCGGGCUAGCAGCUUGGUGGUGGUGUGAUGGCCUACCUGGGCGGAGAGGGGUAGCCGGCGGGAGCGGAUCGGCGGUCACACUGGGACUGGACCACGGCCCAGAGUCCUACGGCAGGGAGCCGUAGGGGAUAUUGCACCGUGGGAGCGAGCAUGAUGCAGCGAAGCCGCGUGAGGGAUGGAGGCCUUCGGGUUGUAAACCUCUUUCUCGGAUUAAGCAGGCCUUUUUCUUGUAGGGUGGUUGACGGUAACGGGAUAAGAAGCGCCGGCUAACUACGUG